rnacentral:rRNA from 1 species
ACGCUGGCGGCGUGCCUAAUACAUGCAAGUCGAACGAGAGCGACCGGUGCUUGCACUGGUCAAUCUAGUGGCGAACGGGUGAGAAACACGUGGGUAACCUGCCCAUCAGAGGGGGAUAACAUUCGGAAACGGAUGCUAAAACCGCAUAGGUCCUUUAACCGCAUGGUUGAAGGAGGAAAAGAGGCGCAAGCUUCUGCUGAUGGAUGGACCCGCGGUGCAUUAGCUAGUUGGUGAGGUAACGGCUCACCAAGGCCGUGAUGCAUAGCCGACCUGAGAGGGUGAUCGGCCACAUUGGGACUGAGACACGGCCCAAACUCCUACGGGAGGCAGCAGUAGGGAAUCUUCCGCAAUGGACGCAAGUCUGACGGAGCAACGCCGCGUGAGUGAAGAAGGUUUUCGGAUCGUAAAACUCUGUUGUUAGAGAAGAACAAGUGCUAGAGUAACUGUUAGCGCCUUGACGGUAUCUAACCAGAAAGCCACGGCUAACUACGUGCCAGCGGCCGCGGUAAUACGUAGGUGGCAAGCGUUGUCCGGAUUUAUUGGGCGUAAAGCGAGCGCAGGCGGUUCCUUAAGUCUGAUGUGAAAGCCCCCGGCUCAACCGGGGAGGGUCAUUGGAAACUGGGGAACUUGAGUGCAGAAGAGGAGAGUGGAAUUCCAUGUGUAGCGGUGAAAUGCGUAGAUAUAUGGAGGAACACCAGUGGCGAAGGCGACUCUCUGGUCUGUAACUGACGCUGAGGCUCGAAAGCGUGGGUAGCAAACAGGAUUAGAUACCCUGGUAGUCCACGCCGUAAACGAUGAGUGCUAAGUGUUGGAGGGUUUCCGCCCUUCAGUGCUGCAGUUAACGCAUUAAGCACUCCGCCUGGGGAGUACGACCGCAAGGUUGAAACUCAAAGGAAUUGACGGGGACCCG